UUGGAGGGCAAGUCUGGUGCCAGCAGCCGCGGUAAUUCCAGCUCCAAUAGCGUAUAUGAAAGUUGUUGCAGAUAAAAAGCUCGUAGUUGAAUUUCGGGAUCAGUACGCUGGUCGUGCCUUUGGUAUGCACUGGUGUCACUGGUUUCUCCCUUCUGAAGAUCCGUGAUGUCAUUAAUUUGGUGUCGCGGGGAAUCAGGACUGUUACUUUGAAAAAAUUAGAGUGUUUAAAGCAGGC
rnacentral:rRNA from 1 species